rnacentral:rRNA from 1 species
CCUACGGGUGGCAGCAGUGAGGAAUAUUGGUCAAUGGCCGAGAGGCUGAACCAGCCAAGUAGCGUGCAGGAUGACGGCCCUACGGGUUGUAAACCUCUUUUGUACGGGAAUAACGCGCGUUACGUGUAACUCUUUGCGUGUACCCGAUGACAAAGGAUCGGCUAAUUCCGUGCCAGCAGCCGCGGUAAUACGGAAGGUCCGGGCGUUAUCCGGAUUUAUUGGGUUUAAAGGGUGCGUAGGCCGCAUGUCAAGCGUACUGUGAAAUGUCCGGGCUCAAACCCCGCAUUGCAGGGCGAACUGGAGUGCUUGAGUCCGCGGAAAGUAGGCGGAAUGCGUGGUGUAGCGGUGAAAUGCUUAGAUAUGACGCAGAACCCCGAUUGCGAAGGCAGCUUGCUGGCGCGGAACUGACGCUGAUGCACGAAAGCGCGGGUAUCGAACAGGAUUAGAUACCCUAGUAGUC